CACGUAGUUAGCCGGAGCUUAUUCCUCAGGUACCGUCAAAUUCCUCUUUCUUCCCUGAUAAAAGAACUUUACAUUACGAAUAACUUCUUCGUUCACGCGGCGUUGCUCGGUCAGGGUUCCCCCAUUGCCGAAAAUUCCCUACUGCUGCCUCCCGUAGGAGUAUGGACCGUUCUCAGUUCCAUUGUGGCCGUUCAACCUCUCAGUCCGGCUACGCAUCAUCGCCUUGGUAGGCCCUUACCCCACCAACUAGCUAAUGCGCCACAGGCCCCUCCUUAAGCAGAUCUCUCUUUUAAAUAUAAAAGAUUCUUCCUCUAUAUCCUAUCCAGUUUUAUCCAUCGUUUCCAAUGGCUAUCCUCGUCUUAAGGGUAGGUUACCUAUGUAUUACUCACCCGUUCGCCACUAAAGUACCCGAAGGUACUUCCGUUCGACUUGCAUGUAUUAGGCACGCCGCCAGCGUUAAUCCUGAGCCAGGAUCAAACUCU
rnacentral:rRNA from 1 species